GAGGGGAGCGUGUGAGGGACUUUUGGGAUAGCACUGGAAAUGUAAAUGAAGAAAACACCUAAUAAAAAUUUAAAAAAAAAUCUAGUCAAUAGGUAUUUACUAUGGUUUAAGCAGUAUUUAUAGAAGUUUGUGUCACAUAUUUGAAAAUCAAGGUGAAUGGCACAGUGGGUACCAUUCCCCAUUUCUGACAUGCUCACUGGGGGGCCAACUCUGUGCUGCUGAAUAAUGAUUUUAUGAGUUCAGUUUUUUCCUGACAGAAAAUAAGUUAACGAGGACUUUCCUAUGGAUCCUUGUCUGUCAAAUGAAAGUAAUUGCAGUAGUUUCCUCAUGACCUAAAAACAAAGUAUCUUAUGAGGAAAUAAAAAAACCUAGAUGGUGGCAAAUAUAUCUUAGACAUGACAAGAAAAUACUAACUGAAAGAAAAAAAAAUGCUAGUUGUAUUUCAUCAGGAUUUCAAAGAGCGGGCUCAUUAGUAGGUACCAAUUUACAAAUGAACAUCUCACACUGAAUGUGAGAAAACAUUUACAGUAUUCACAUAGGACUAAAUACUUUUCUCUACAAUUUUUGAAGUUACUUUAGGUCAGCAGUAAGGUAAAAGAGACGCAUAUCUUUUAUCAGGAAGGUUAUCAGGAAUAUAGACCAUACAUAGCACUCAAUCAAAAAUGUUUCCAAAGUAGAAAUGCUAUUAUUCAUCUAUCCACUAAUUUAUUAGUGUGUUGGCUUUUACUUGUCAAAAAUUAGAAUUAUCUAGGUGAGUUCUUAAAUUUUUAUUGUAGAAAUUGCACAUCAAAUCAGUAAGAUUGAGUCCCUCAGGGUAAGGCAUCAGUAUUUUUUUAACAUAAUCUCCUGAGCGGCUCAAUGUGUAGAAAGUUUGAAAAGCCAGCACACUGGUAUUUCUGUGAUCUUUUUAAUUAACAAAGUGUCUAAAAAAUGUCUCCAUCGCCCAGUCACCAGCAUGAGUAGCAAGGAGAAGAAGAGGUGUUAAAUUGUCUGAGUUGGUAAAUCCUUUAGCACUGAGGUCAAGCACACUGCAAUUUAUAUCUUCAUUUUGUGACUUCUUAGAUACAGAAUAUUUGCCAAAUUGGCCUUUAUGAAUCACAGUUUCCUUGUCCUUGGGAGUAGGGAUGGUAAUUAUCACUUCUCGGGAUCUUGGCGAGAAUUAAAGAGGGAAACGUGCGUGAGUCGGAUACCUGUGACUACAGAGCAAGCUGUUUCUAUUAAUUACUCUGCUCAAGUACCCAUUUGUUCAUGCUUCUCUGAUGGACUAUCCCUUUUUGUGCCUAUCUCGGUUUUUCCGGAUAUCUUCUCGUGUGUUCCCUUAUGCACAUCCUUUUCUGCCAUGCCCCGUGCCUCACAGCAGCGGGCUUCCUUCCAAUUAGUGAGGCCAUCACUCAUUUGAAAGUGUUUUCUUCUGGUGGCGAUCACAGCUAUCACACUCAAUUUAGCCUCCAGCUCAAAAGGGAGACAAGCUUCCCCUCUCCAUGCUUAAUGGUGCUGCAGAGAAGAGGCUUUAACUCCCCGCAAGAAUUUAUUGAAGGCUCCAAAAUGACAGACUGGCUCGCUAUUAGAUGUUAUUAAGCUCAGGGCUUCAGGACCCACCCUGGCCACUGGGUUCCUUUCCAGGUCACCUCUUUAUCUAGCUCUCCAUUAGCCUCCAUGCACAAGGGCCAGUUUACUGUACAUCAGCAGGGUUGAUUGUUCAACGUAGUAAUUUGGCGCUGUCUUCCCAAAGAGCAGAAAACAUUUGUCAAGGAUCCUCAAUAGCCUUUGAGGAGCAGCGUGAGGCUGAGACUGACGCCUUCCUCCAGACUCUGCUCUGAUUUAAGGUUUGUCUUGCCCACUACAAACAAUGCUUAGUGAUUGGUAAUCAGUGACCAUAUAAGGCCCAUUACGCUAUGAUCAUUUCUCUUCAAAUUCAGCCACAAACAUACUUAUUACACUUCAAAAUUUAGAGUAAAUCAGAGUGUACUACCGGCACUAUUGUCUUCUUAGAAUAGAAAU
rnacentral:lncRNA from 1 species